rnacentral:lncRNA from 1 species
UUUUUUUUCAUUUUUUAGUUUCUUCUACGGGACUGAACUAGUGUCUCUUUCCUCCACUUCCAUUAUCACUAUCCCCCUUUCAAUCACCACCUCCAUCAUCAUCUUCAUAUCUGCCAUCGCCACCUCCUCCACUAUCUCCUCCACCUCCUUUACCACCUUCGUUUUAAUUGCCACCUCCGUUUGAAUCACUACUUCCACUAUCUUCUCCAUCUCUCUUACCACUUUCAUAUCCACCACCGAGAGCUCCAUCUGCAACUCUUCCGGACACAUCAACAACAUCAACACAACCACUGACCAUGAGAUCCCCGUCCACAACUCUUCCGACCACAUCAACAACAUCCCCACACAACCAUGAGAUCCCUGUCCACAAUUCUUCUGACCACAUCAACAACAUCCACACACACAUUGACCAAGUGAGCUACCAUCACCUCCAUUAAUCACCACCUCCAGUAUCUCCUCUCCCUCUAUUACCACUUUCGUAUCCACCACCGAAAU